rnacentral:rRNA from 1 species
UACAGAGGGUGCGAGCGUUAAUCGGAGUUACUGGGCGUAAAGGGCGCGUAGGCGGUUUGCUAAGUUGGACGUGAAAACUCUGGGCUUAACCCAGAGCCUGCAUCCAAAACUGGCAAGCUAGAGUUUUGGAGGGGGAAGCGGAAUUCCUGGUGUAGCAGUGAAAUGCGUAGAUAUCAGGAGGAACACCGGUGGCGAAGGCGGCUUCCUGGACAAAAACUGACGCUGAGGCGCGAAAGCUAGGGGAGCAAACAGG